rnacentral:rRNA from 1 species
UACAGAGGGUGCAAGCGUUAUUCGGAAUUACUGGGCGUAAAGAGCGCGUAGGCGGUCUUAUAAGUCGAAUGUGAAAUCCCUUGGCUCAACCGAGGAACUGCAUUCGAUACUGUAAGGCUGGAGUAUGGGAGAGGAGAACGGAAUUCCUGGUGUAGAGGUGAAAUUCGUAGAUAUCAGGAGGAACAACAGCGGCGAAGGCGGUUCUCUGGACCAUUACUGACGCUGAGGCGCGAAAGCGUGGGGAGCAAACAGG